UAUAAUUAUGGUCUUCUUCACGGGUGAAUUUGCAGUAGUCACAAAACUCGUGAAAGUUGGUUCACAUCUGCGGUUCUGACGUAGGAUUACCCUUAGGUGCGAGAGUUGAUAAAGCAGGCGCAUGCGCGAGACACUGUGCAGCAUUUUAAUUACAAAGCGCUUGAAGAACUGGUUUCAUGGGGCUUGAAGAUUCUAGAUGCUCCACCCAGAACCUCAGUGGCCAGGAGGAACACUUGCUGACUGCCAUGAAAUGAACCAGCCGAACAAGAUUCUUCGUACCUCUCUGCA